AACUCUAAAACAUAUUAUUAUUCUUGCCUAUGUUUUUACAUAGGAACACCUGUGCAUUGUGUACUUAAAAUGACGUACAAUGACGUCAUUACCUAUUUUGGUAAUCACCAGUUCCGGUUUUGGUAAUUUAGGUAUUUUCCGAAAUGGUAAAUGGUAAACCAAAAUGGUAAAUGGUAAACCAAAUCGGUAAAUUGGUUUACCUAAGUAUAAAUACGGCGGAGAAUACAGAUAAGUCUUCAGCACAAUUUUACCCUGGGCAAGUAACACACGUUAAGUCCAAGCGAUUUUGAUAUACGUACAGAUACCAUGUACCAGACCAAGUAGUUAACCAGACAGCCAACACUAUUACAAUGUCCGAGUAGACUACGUCCGUAUAAUGUGGGUUUGUUAAUUCCUUUACAAGUUACAUUUAGAGAAUAACUUCUCGAGAGAAACUUUAUCUUUUGGCAUUGAAUUUGAUUUAC